GUCUAAGGUCAUGCCACCCUGAAUGUACCCUAUCUUGUCUGACCUUGGAAGCUAAGCAGGGUUGGGCCUGAUUAGUACUUGUAUGGGAGACCACCUAGGAAGACCAGGUGCUGGAGGGG
rnacentral:rRNA from 1 species